rnacentral:rRNA from 1 species
GACGAACGCUGGCGGCGUGCUUAACACAUGCAAGUCGAACGGAAAGGCCCUGCUUUUGUGGGGUGCUCGAGUGGCGAACGGGUGAGUAACACGUGAGUAACCUGCCCUUUACUUUGGGAUAACUUCAGGAAACUGGGGCUACUACCGGAUAGGAGCUCCUGCUGCAUGGUGGGGGUUGGAAAGUUUCGGCGGUUGGGGAUGGACUCGCGGCUUAUCAGCUUGUUGGUGGGGUAGUGGCUUACCAAGGCUUUGACGGGUAGCCGGCCUGAGAGGGUGACCGGCCACAUUGGGACUGAGAUACGGCCCAGACUCCUACGGGAGGCAGCAGUGGGGAAUAUUGCACAAUGGGCGGAAGCCUGAUGCAGCAACGCCGCGUGCGGGAUGACGGCCUUCGGGUUGUAAACCGCUUUCGCCUGUGACGAAGCGUGAGUGACGGUAAUGGGUAAAGAAGCACCGGCUAACUACGUG